rnacentral:piRNA from 1 species
GUAAGAUACAGGGUUAGAAAAAGA